rnacentral:tRNA from 1 species
GCCGGGUUAGCUCAGUUGGUAGAGCACUCGACUUGUAAUCGAGCGGUCGUCGGUUCGAAUCCGACACCCGGCUCCA